UUCUUUCUUCAGACAUCAAAAUGGGCCUCUGAGAAAAUUCAAAUGGACCCUCCAAUUCCCAUCUACUCAGAGGACAAGAAGACAGUGAAUCUUCUUUUCAGAAAUCCUUCGGAGUUAUCUGACUGAUGCGUCACCCCCACUGAUUACUAGGCAGAUUCAGCUAAUCAGUCAAGUAAGAAGAGAGACAUAGCUCAUCCCUCGGUUGCCGAAGACACACCCUAGUUCUGAUGAGCAGCUGUAUCUAAA
rnacentral:lncRNA from 1 species